rnacentral:ncRNA from 1 species
GGAGGAGUUUGUGACCCUCCGGUAUCGGCCUGCAGGGGCAGGUAUCAAACCGCCUCCGAGCGGCAUUGGCUAAAGACCGUUGUUGUGAGCAUCGGGCGAAAAGGUGCGAUGAAACAAGCGCAUCAGGU